rnacentral:rRNA from 1 species
AGUUAGUGGCGGACGGGUGAGUAACGCGUGGAUAACCUGCCGUAUACUGGGGGAUAACACUUAGAAAUAGGUGCUAAUACCGCAUAAGCGCACAGUCUCGCAUGAGACGGUGUGAAAAACUCCGGUGGUAUACGAUGGAUCCGCGUCUGAUUAGCUUGUUGGCGGGGUAACAGCCCACCAAGGCGACGAUCAGUAGGGGUUCUGAGAGGAAGGUCCCCCACAUUGGAACUGAGACACGGUCCAAACUCCUACGGAAGGCAGCAG